GACGAACGCUGGCGGCGUGCUUAACACAUGCAAGUCGAACGCUGAAGCUUGGUGCUUGCACUGGGUGGAUGAGUGGCGAACGGGUGAGUAAUACGUGAGUAACCUGCCCUUGACUCUGGGAUAAGCCUGGGAAACUGGGUCUAAUACUGGAUAUGACAUGCCACUGCAUGGUGGUGUGUGGAAAGGGUUUUACUGGUUUUGGAUGGGCUCACGGCCUAUCAGCUUGUUGGUGGGGUAAUGGCCUACCAAGGCGACGACGGGUAGCCGGCCUGAGAGGGUGACCGGCCACACUGGGAAUGAGACACGGCCCAGACUCCUACGGGAGGCAGCAGUGGGGAAUAUUGCACAAUGGGCGGAAGCCUGAUGCAGCGACGCCGCGUGAGGGAUGACGGCCUUCGGGUUGUAAACCUCUUUCAGCACGGAAGAAGCGAGAGUGACGGUACGUGCAGAAGAAGCGCCGGCUAACUACGUG
rnacentral:rRNA from 1 species